rnacentral:tRNA from 1 species
AGUGAAAUAAGCUAAAUAAGCUUUUGGGCCCAUACCCCAAAUAUGUUGGUUAAAACCCCUCUUCCACUA